AGAGUUUGAUCCUGGCUCAGGAUGAACGCUAGCUACAGGCUUAACACAUGCAAGUCGAGGGGAAACGGCAUUGAGUGCUUGCACUCUUUGGACGUCGACCGGCGCACGGGUGAGUAACGCGUAUCCAACCUUCCCAUUACUGUGGGAUAACCUGCCGAAAGGCAGACUAAUACCGCAUAGUCUUCGAUGACGGCAUCAGAUUUGAAGUAAAGAUUUAUCGGUAAUGGAUGGGGAUGCGUCUGAUUAGCUUGUUGGCGGGGUAACGGCCCACCAAGGCAACGAUCAGUAGGGGUUCUGAGAGGAAGGUCCCCCACAUUGGAACUGAGACACGGUCCAAACUCCUACGGGAGGCAGCAGUGAGGAAUAUUGGUCAAUGGACGGAAGUCUGAACCAGCCAAGUAGCGUGCAGGAUGACGGCCCUAUGGGUUGUAAACUGCUUUUGUAUGGGGAUAAAGUUAGGGACGUGUCCCUAUUUGCAGGUACCAUACGAAUAAGGACCGGCUAAUUCCGUGCCAGCAGCCGCGGUAAUACGGAAGGUCCAGGCGUUAUCCGGAUUUAUUGGGUUUAAAGGGAGCGUAGGCCGGAGAUUAAGUGUGUUGUGAAAUGUAGACGCUCAACGUCUGAAUUGCAGCGCAUACUGGUUUCCUUGAGUACGCACAACGUUGGCGGAAUUCGUCGUGUAGCGGUGAAAUGCUUAGAUAUGACGAAGAACUCCGAUUGCGAAGGCAGCUGACGGGAGCGCAACUGACGCUUAAGCUCGAAGGUGCGGGUAUCAAACAGGAUUAGAUACCCUGGUAGUCCGCACAGUAAACGAUGGAUGCCCGCUGUUGGUACCUGGUAUCAGCGGCUAAGCGAAAGCAUUAAGCAUCCCACCUGGGGAGUACGCCGGCAACGGUGAAACUCAAAGGAAUUGACGGGGGCCCGCACAAGCGGAGGAACAUGUGGUUUAAUUCGAUGAUACGCGAGGAACCUUACCCGGGCUUGAAUUGCAG
rnacentral:rRNA from 1 species